AGCGUGAGGUUGCACGUGCAAGCUGGGGCACACACGGGUUCCCUGUGGAACGAGGCUGACGGCACUACAGCGAAGUUACUGGUUUUUCUCACCAGCUUGAAAGAACCUCUCGCAGGCUGGAAUGAUGGGGCCAAUGCCAAGAAGAGAUCUAAUAGAGAAAAGCAAAUGGCAGAUUCUUCGAGGAAGAGGACCCAAAAGGUCAUUGACUGGAGCUUCUGAUUAAAUCCUUGAGUAGAUGGA